rnacentral:rRNA from 1 species
GACGAACGAGGGUGGAGGGAGUAACACAUGCAAGUCGAACGGAAAGGCCCUGCUUUUGUGGGGUGCUCGAGUGGCGAACGGGUGAGUAACACGUGAGUAACCUGCCCUUGACUUUGGGAUAACUUCAGGAAACUGGGGCUAAUACCGGAUAGGAGCUCCUGCUGCAUGGUGGGGGUUGGAAAGUUUCGGCGGUUGGGGAUGGACUCGCGGCUUAUCAGCUUGUUGGUGGGGUAGUGGCUUACCAAGGCUUUGACGGGUAGCCGGCCUGAGAGGGUGACCGGCCACAUUGGGACUGAGAUACGGCCCAGACUCCUACGGGAGGCAGCAGUGGGGAAUAUUGCACAAUGGGCGGAAGCCUGAUGCAGCAACGCCGCGUGCGGGAUGACGGCCUUCGGGUUGUAAACCGCUUUCGCCUGUGACGAAGCGUGAGUGACGGUAAUGGGUAAAGAAGCACCGGCUAACUACGUG